CUCCUACCGGGGGGCAGCAGUGGGGAAUAUUGGACAAUGGGGGAAACCCUGAUCCAGCGACGCCGCGUGUGUGAAGAAGGCCUGCGGGUUGUAAAGCACGUUUUAGUGGGGACAAAAGCUACGGAUUAAUACUCUGUGGUCUUGAUUUUAACCCAAAGUAAAAAGCACCCGGCUAACUCUGUGCCAGCCGCCGCGGUAAUUC
rnacentral:rRNA from 1 species